rnacentral:rRNA from 1 species
AGAGUGUGAUCCUGGCUCAGGAUGAACGCCGGCGGUGUGCCUAAUACAUGCAAGUCGUACGCACUGGCCCAACUAAUUGAUGGUGCUUGCACCUGAUUGACGAUGGAUCACCAGUGAGUGGCGGACGGGUGAGUAACACGUAGGUAACCUGCCCCGGAGCGGGGGAUAACAUUUGGAAACAGAUGCUAAUACCGCAUAACAACAAAAGCCGCAUGGCUUUUGUUUGAAAGAUGGCUUUGGCUAUCACUCUGGGAUGGACCUGCGGUGCAUUAGCUAGUUGGUAAGGUAACGGCUUACCAAGGCGAUGAUGCAUAGCCGAGUUGAGAGACUGAUCGGCCACAAUGGAACUGAGACACGGUCCAUACUCCUACGGGAGGCAGCAGUAGGGAAUCUUCCACAAUGGGCGCAAGCCUGAUGGAGCAACACCGCGUGAGUGAAGAAGGGUUUCGGCUCGUAAAGCUCUGUUGUUGGAGAAGAACGUGCGUGAGAGUAACUGUUCACGCAGUGACGGUAUCCAACCAGAAAGUCACGGCUAACUACGUGCCAGCAGCCGCGGUAAUACGUAGGUGGCAAGCGUUAUCCGGAUUUAUUGGGCGUAAAGCGAGCGCAGGCGGUUGCUUAGGUCUGAUGUGAAAGCCUUCGGCUUAACCGAAGAAGUGCAUCGGAAACCGGGCGACUUGAGUGCAGAAGAGGACAGUGGAACUCCAUGUGUAGCGGUGGAAUGCGUAGAUAUAUGGAAGAACACCAGUGGCGAAGGCGGCUGUCUGGUCUGCAACUGACGCUGAGGCUCGAAAGCAUGGGUAGCGAACAGGAUUAGAUACCCUGGUAGUCCAUGCCGUAAACGAUGAGUGCUAGGUGUUGGAGGGUUUCCGCCCUUCAGUGCCGGAGCUAACGCAUUAAGCACUCCGCCUGGGGAGUACGACCGCAAGGUUGAAACUCAAAGGAAUUGACGGGGGCCCGCACAAGCGGUGGAGCAUGUGGUUUAAUUCGAAGCUACGCGAAGAACCUUACCAGGUCUUGACAUCUUGCGCUAACCUUAGAGAUAAGGCGUUCCCUUCGGGGACGCAAUGACAGGUGGUGCAUGGUCGUCGUCAGCUCGUGUCGUGAGAUGUUGGGUUAAGUCCCGCAACGAGCGCAACCCUUGUUACUAGUUGCCAGCAUUGAGUUGGGCACUCUAGUGAGACUGCCGGUGACAAACCGGAGGAAGGUGGGGACGACGUCAGAUCAUCAUGCCCCUUAUGACCUGGGCUACACACGUGCUACAAUGGACGGUACAACGAGUCGCAAACUCGCGAGAGUAAGCUAAUCUCUUAAAGCCGUUCUCAGUUCGGACUGUAGGCUGCAACUCGCCUACACGAAGUCGGAAUCGCUAGUAAUCGCGGAUCAGCAUGCCGCGGUGAAUACGUUCCCGGGCCUUGUACACACCGCCCGUCACACCAUGGGAGUUUGUAACGCCCAAAGUCGGUGGCCUAACCUUUAUGGAGGGAGCCGCCU